UACAGAGGGGGCAAGCGUUGUUCGGAAUUACUGGGCGUAAAGGGCGCGUAGGCGGCCAACUAAGUCAGACGUGAAAUCCCCUGGCUCAACCAGGGAACUGCGUCUGAUACUGGUAGGCUUGAGUUCGGGAGAGGGAAGUGGAAUUCCAGGUGUAGCGGUGAAAUGCGUAGAUAUCUGGAGGAACACCGGUGGCGAAGGCGGCUUCCUGGACCGACACUGACGCUGAGGCGCGAAAGCCAGGGGAGCAAACGGG
rnacentral:rRNA from 1 species